GACGAACGCUGGCGGCAGGCUUAACACAUGCAAGUCGAACGCCCUCUUCGGAGGGAGUGGCAGACGGGUGAGUAACGCGUGGGAAUCUACCCUAUUCUACGGAACAACACAGAGAAAUUUGUGCUAAUACCGUAUACGCCCUCCGGGGGAAAGAUUUAUCGGAGUAGGAUGAGCCCGCGUUUGAUUAGCUAGUUGGUGAGGUAAUGGCUCACCAAGGCGACGAUCAAUAGCUGGUCUGAGAGGAUGAUCAGCCACACUGGGACUGAGACACGGCCCAGACUCCUACGGGAGGCAGCAGUGGGGAAUCUUAGACAAUGGGGGCAACCCUGAUCUAGCCAUGCCGCGUGAGUGACGAAGGCCCUAGGGUCGUAAAGCUCUUUCGCCAGGGAUGAUAAUGACAGUA
rnacentral:rRNA from 1 species